UUUUACUAAUAAUAUCUCUGUUUACUAAUUUACUAAUUAUAUCAUUCUCUUCUCGUCAACAAGCGUCAUUUCAGGAUUAGGUUUUUCAUUAUAGCAUUGAAUAUAUUAUAAGAAUGCCGUCAGACUAAAAAAAAAAAAACGUGACUAAUCGCUAUCUCUAUUUAUAGGUACCCGUAACCGUGAAUAGGAAUAGUAACUCAUGAGAAAAAUACUAGGAUAUAAAUCCUAGUAAUGACAUAUUAUCGGCGCGGUAAAAAAA